AUUGGGUGGCUUACCUUUUCAGAGGUGUUAUGGGAUUUAGAGGUUUGCCUUCUUUUGAUGCCCCUCUUUGCUUUCCACCGUGUGGGGAUAGGAUGAGCCAUGAGGUAUCGUCGAGCUCUAGACGUAAAAUUAAGCACUUGUUGGGAGGUAACCCAACUGUUUUUCUUUGUUUUGUUUUUCGUUAUUUUAGUUUCGUUUUGUUUCUUUUUGUUUCUUUGUUUUGUUUUGGGGUUUUAGUGCAGUGUUGAGCUUGGAAGAUGCGGGAACUCGCGCCCUGUUCAUAUCACCACCGUGGAGCAUGUGUUUCUGUGAGUAGUGACACACAUAUCAUCAUCCCUCCAAACUUAUUUUCGAACUUAUGUUCUGUAAUAAGUUUGGGGGAGGGGGGUGAGAGUAGAUAUGUGUAUCACUUUUAUCUUUUUGUUAGCUUUAUUGUUUUAUCCUGCUUGGUUGGUGGUGUGUGUUUUUGUUUUGAGAUGUUUAUUGCUC
rnacentral:lncRNA from 1 species